rnacentral:rRNA from 1 species
GUGGGGAAUAUUGGACAAUGGGCGAAAGCCUGAUCCAGCCAUGCCGCGUGUGUGAAGAAGGUCUUCGGAUUGUAAAGCACUUUAAGUUGGGAGGAAGGGCAGUAAGUUAAUACCUUGCUGUUUUGACGUUACCGACAGAAUAAGCACCGGCUAACUUCGUGCCAGCAGCCGCGGUAAUACGAAGGGUGCAAGCGUUAAUCGGAAUUACUGGGCGUAAAGCGCGCGUAGGUGGUUUUGUAAGUUGGAGGUGAAAUCCCCGGGCUCAACCUGGGAACUGCCUCCAAAACUGCAUGACUAGAGUACGGUAGAGGGUAGUGGGAUUUCCUGUGUAGCGGUGAAAUGCGUAGAUAUAGGAAGGAACACCAGUGGCGAAGGCGACCACCUGGACUGAUACUGACACUGAGGUGCGAAAGCGUGGGGAGCAAACAGGAUUAGAAACCCGUGUAGUCC